GACGAACGCUGGCGGCGUACCUAACACAUGCAAGUCGAACGGAACUGUUUUGAAAGAUUUCUUCGGAAUGAAUUUGAUUUAGUUUAGUGGCGGACGGGUGAGUAACGCGUGAGUAACCUGCCUUCAAGAGGGGGAUAACAUUCUGAAAAGAAUGCUAAUACCGCAUGACAUAUCGGAACCACAUGGUUUUGAUAUCAAAGAUUUUAUCGCUUGAAGAUGGACUCGCGUCCGAUUAGUUAGUUGGUGAGGUAACGGCUCACCAAGACCGCGAUCGGUAGCCGGACUGAGAGGUUGAACGGCCACAUUGGGACUGAGACACGGCCCAGACUCCUACGGGAGGCAGCAGUGGGGGAUAUUGCGCAAUGGGGGCAACCCUGACGCAGCAACGCCGCGUGAAGGAUGAAGGUUUUCGGAUUGUAAACUUCUUUUAUUAAGGACGAAACUUGACGGUACUUAAUGAAUAAGCU
rnacentral:rRNA from 1 species